rnacentral:rRNA from 1 species
GACGAACGCUGGCGGCGUGCUUAACACAUGCAAGUCGAACGGAAAGGCCCUGCUUUUGUGGGGUGCUCGAGUGGCGAACGGGUGAGUAACACGCGAGUAACCUGCCCUUGACUUUGGGAUAACUUCAGGAAACUGGGGCUAAUACCGGAUAGGAGCUCCUGCUGCAUGGUGGGGGUUGGAAAGUUUCGGCGGUUGGGGAUGGACUCGCGGCUUAUCAGCUUGUUGGUGGGGUAGUGGCUUACCAAGGCUUUGACGGGUAGCCGGCCUGAGAGGGUGACUGGCCACAUUGGGACUGAGAUACGGCCCAGACUCCUACGGGAGGCAGCAGUGGGGAAUAUUGCACAAUGGGCGGAAGCCUGAUGCAGCAACGCCGCGUGCGGGAUGACGGCCUUCGGGUUGUAAACCGCUUUCGCCUGUGACGAAGCGUGAGUGACGGUAAUGGGUAAAGAAGCACCGGCUAACUACGUG